CAGCAGCCGCGGUAAUACGUAGGGGGCAAGCGUUAUCCGGAUUUACUGGGUGUAAAGGGAGCGCAGGCGGUGCGGCAAGUCUGAUGUGAAAGCCCGGGGCUCAACCCCGGGACUGCAUUGGAAACUGUCGUACUUGAGUAUCUGAGAGGUAAGUGGAAUUCCUAGUGUAGCGGUGAAAUGCGUAGAUAUUAGGAGGAACACCAGUGGCGAAGGCGGCUUACUGGACGAUAACUGACGCUGAGGCUCGAAAGCGUGGGGAGCAAACAGGAUUAGAUACCCCUGUAGUCCCUGUCUCUUAUAC
rnacentral:rRNA from 1 species